UACGUAGGGUGCAAGCGUUAAUCGGAAUUACUGGGCGUAAAGCGUGCGCAGGCGGUUUGGUAAGACAGAUGUGAAAUCCCCGGGCUCAACCUGGGAAUUGCAUUUGUGACUGCAUGGCUGGAGUGCGGCAGAGGGGGAUGGAAUUCCGCGUGUAGCAGUGAAAUGCGUAGAUAUGCGGAGGAACACCGAUGGCGAAGGCAAUCCCCUGGGCCUGCACUGACGCUCAUGCACGAAAGCGUGGGGAGCAAACAGG
rnacentral:rRNA from 1 species